CAGCAGCACCUCUGCCAGGCUCUCUCCUUUGUCCUCACAGUGCAGAUCAACUCGUCAUCACUCUCCUCCCUGCCAAGACUCCAUGGUCCUUGAAGUCUCUUCUUCCUGCCAGUUCCUCUGCUUUAGCAUCCUCAGGGCCUGUGCCGAUAAGCGUCGCUCCUACCCCUCACCAAGGAAGCCUCUCUCUACAGCACAUGGAGACCAUCACCGAAAACCACACUGAUCACGAUACAGAGGUCAAUGGAUGGAGGGAAGCCAGGCCCAGAAGAUACAUAUAACUCACAGCUAUGUCUCGGGGAACAUCGCAGAGGACCAGAAGUCUGCUGGGAAACAGGCCCUACUAGAAAUGGGUGCAUACACAAGAUCAGGACGAUGGCUGUAUCGCUGGAAACGUUCACGUGAAAGGGGGAGUUUUUUUGCAGGGUCCCAGCCCACAGAAAGAACUGCAGGCAAAUAAUGGCUGCUGGGAGUGAGAGUAUUAGCCUGUCUCAAGAGCAAGCCUCGAAACCACAUACACGCCACCAACAUAAACAGACUCGGCAGGUUAUGUUCACAUACACCUGUGCAUACACAUACAAACAUACACACACACACACACACACACACACACACACACACACACACACGUAUAUGUAUGUAACAAUGAUAAUAAAAGAAAAAGGCUCUCAACUUGAGAGUGGGAAGUGUGGGAGGGUUUCUAGAGAGCCUGGGAGGGGCUGGAGGGAGGAAAGUUAUGAAAUGCUAUUACAAUUAAAAACAUGUUUUAAAAAUUAAAAGGCAAAAAAUAAACUAGCUAUACAAACCAAGCAUUUAAUGAAGACAAGUCAUAAAGACAUUUAUUUUUAAAACAAUCCUUUAGGGCUGGGAAGAUGGCCCAGUGGUUAAGAGCUCUUGUGCUCAGGCAUUAGACGCUGAGUUCAAAUACCCAGCACCCACAGAAAAGGCCGGAUGUGACUAUAGGUGUAACCCAGCAUUGUGGAGAGGGAGACAGGAGAAUCACUGUGUUCAGUGAGAGACUCAGCCACCGAGGUUGGGGGUCAUAGAGCAGACCUCUGGCAUCCACCUCCAGCCUCUGUGCUCAGGUGAGUGGAUGAGCAUGCACGCAUGCACAGACAUACACACAAGUGCACAAGCACAUUCAUGCACACACACACACACACACACACACACACACAAGUGCGCACACACGCAGAACCCAGUAGAUGCUUUUCACAGUGCACUUCCAAACAAAAGAGAAAUGAAUAGAAUCUUAUGAGACCCUAUUAUCUGGAAUUUGGUGCCACCCAUAUCCAAGCUCUGUCCUAACCCACCAACCCAGAUCUAGCUUUAGUCUUUGUGCUGGGUUUACGUGAGCCAAAACUUUUCAAAAAGGUAUCUGAAAUAGAAGGGUUUAUUGAGCCAUUUUAGAUGUUAUCCAGAAAAAAAAAAAUGACCCUAGGACAGGUCCUAGCAGCAGCGGGGAAGGUGUCUGCUGAGCCCAGAGCGAAGGGGAUUGUUAUAGAGAAGUUGGAGGCAGGGAAGUGUUGGCAACAAUGAACCUGUGGUGCUAUAGGUAGAUAAAACAGACAGGGGAAACUGGGUGAGCGGCAGUCCUGGGGGAGUGGAGACUGCUGCCCCUGACCUGCCUGGUAGGGCUGCCUGGAAGCUCAGACGUGAAUUUUCAGGGCAGGAGGCUCUGGAGGUCAGCUGUGACAGGGUCUAAGCCAAGGUCACUGUACCUUCAGGGAUGUGAGACAAUCUCUUUGCAUUUUGUUUGAUUAAUUUCCCACCCCCUUUCCCUUUCAUGUAAUUAGAUGUAGAAUAUUCCAGAAUUUUCCUUCUGACUUAUCCUUUCUUCCUUCAUUCUGCUCAUUAAAACCUCCGACCAGGUCGCAAGAUGGCUCAGUGGGUCAAGGCCCUUGCCACACAAGCCCGAUGACCGAAGUCCUGUUCCUGGAGAUCACACAAAGAUGGUGGAAGAAAUGAAGUGGUCAUUCUUUCUCUUAAUGGCGGAAACAUCUUAGAACAACACCAAAGCCAGGCAGCCAUGUGACUCCCAAGCCUCACAACCCAGCUGAGCUGCCUUCAUAGCUGUUCACACACAAGCUAAAGCGACUUUUCCUACACUCCAUUAGGAAGCCCAGGGAGCACGUUUCUCUCUGCAGCCCCGAGAGCUUCACACAGGGCCAGUUCUGCACCCUCAAGUCCGCACUUGGCCACCAGGUCCUUCCACCCGGGGCUCACCUCCCUCAGUACCCACGCUCCCUCCUAUUCUCAAACAUCUCAGGCAACUGUCGCUCUGCCCACAAGCUGGGCACAGCCUGCCGGUCCUCCCAUGGUUUCUGCCACAAUAUCUGCCUCACAAGAAUUUGACUCUGAGACCCUGAGAGCCAGGAGUGUGUGUGACUCAUCUUUUAACAACGUGGAAUGCAUUCCUGGCCAGGGAUGGUGAACAGAAUCUCAAGCAAGCACGGCAGUGACAUUUCUUCUUGCUGCCACUAGAUGGCAGCAGGCACCCCGUUGGCAACCACUAGGAAAGACCUUUUCUCUCUGGCCCCUGGGACCCUGGAUGGAAUCCAUACACUAAAAUAAGCAUUCAGAACGCCCAGACCUGGUUCUUAUUAGUGCUGCCAGGAAGAUGAGGCGGCGAAGAGAACUAAGUCAGACCACCGCUGAGCCUGAAAGUCCGGAUGUGGACACAGACGCCCUGGGUCCUGCCGUGCUUGCGGACCCUUAGCUCUGGGACUUUGAAUAAAGUUCCUGACCUUUC